GUGGCUAUGUAGUUUAAUGGUAAGAAUGCCUUGUUGGGUCUGUGCAGACUUGGGUUCGAAUCCCAGCGCCACA
rnacentral:tRNA from 1 species